UGGGGUUGGUACAGGACAAUAGAGCAGGUUAGAGCCACAACGACUGGUGUUAGUUUGGACUUCAGCACAGCAGAGAAUUCUUGGAGAAGAUUUGGCUCCUCGGCGUUUGUGUGGCACUGGCUUUCAUUUCUACUUCUGCUCAUGUCUCCUCCAGUAUGAGUGCUACGUACCUGAUCUCAGCCCCCAGUGUGUUGCGUCCGGGGACCCCUACCUCCCUGGCUGUCACCAUCCUCACGAACGACCCAGUCAGGGUCACAGCAGAGCUGACCAACGGCAACACCAGCCUGGCCCAGGCAGAGAGUUCUUUCAGAGGUGACGUCCGUGGGUCAGGUGGUGGCUGCAGGGACAGCAACCUCUCCCUCCUUCUCUCGAACCCCUGCAGUGUCCUGGUCACCAGAGGCCUGUAUCUCUGUGUACUGUGUACUACCUGAUGGAGAGGUCAUCAGUGACCUGCACAUCUUCAUCAAGCCCCAUGUAGUCCUGCAAAACAAGGUAUCUCUGAGCUGGAGCCAUGCCAAGGCAAGGCCAGGUGAUGAGGUGUUCUUCAGUCAGUGUGCUUGAACCUGGCUCUCUGGUCAGAAUAAUGGUGGUGGCGUGGAGGACAAAGAAACUGUACUGUACAUCUAGAUACACCCUGCCACAUGAAAUAUAGUCUACUGUAAACAACGCCUAAGAUGUACCACUGUACUGUCUUUAUUGUCUGUAAAGCAAUCCGACAUUUA